UGAGGCUUUCACUUUUGUUUUCUGCAGUGCGCGACUGCAGACCCCGAUGGUCAAAAGAGAGCACUUGUGAUUGGAGGUGGGAUAGCGAACUUUACUGAUGUUGCUGCUACAUUUAAUGGCAUAAUUCGGGCGUUGAAGGAAAAGGAAUCAAGGCUGAAAGCGGCUAGGAUGAACAUUUAUGUGAGGAGAGGUGGCCCCAACUACCAGAGAGGUCUUGCCAAGAUGCGGACACUGGGAGAAGAACUUGGAGUUCCAAUUGAGGUUUAUGGGCCAGAGGCAACCAUGACUGGUAUAUGCAAGCAGGCAAUUGAGUGCAUAACGGCAGCUGCAUAAGACAGUUUCAGGAUACACC